rnacentral:rRNA from 1 species
GUAGGAUCCAAGCGUUAUCCGGAUUUACUGGGCGUAAAGCGCGUGCAGGUGGUUUGGUAAGUUGGAUGUUAAAUCUCCCGGCCCAACUGGGAGCUGUCGUUCAAAACUGCCAAGCUAGAGGACGGUAGAGGGAGGUGGAAUUCAGGGUGUAGUGGUGAAAUGCGUAGAUAUCCUGAGGAACACCAGUGGCGAAGGCGGCCUCCUGGCCCGCUCCUGACACUAAGACGCGAAAGCUAGGGUAGCGAACGGGAUUAGACACCCCGGGUAGUCCUAGCCGUAAACGAUGUGAACUUGGUGUUGGUGGGGUAAAACCCCAUCAGUGCCGUAGCAAACGCGAUAAGUUCACCGCCUGGGGACCACGGUCGCAAGAUUA